rnacentral:rRNA from 1 species
AACGAACGCUGGCGGCAGGCUUAACACAUGCAAGUCGAACGCCCCGCAAGGGGAGUGGCGCACGGGUGAGUAACGCGUGGAUAUCUGCCUUUUGGUUCGGAAUAACCCCGGGAAACUGGGGCUAAUACCGGAUGGUUCCUACGGGAUAAAGAUUUAUCGCCAAAAGAUGAGUCCGCGUACGAUUAGCUAGUUGGUGGGGUAAUGGCCCACCAAGGCGACGAUCGUUAGCUGGUCUGAGAGGACGAUCAGCCACACUGGGACUGAGACACGGCCCAGACUCCCACGGGAGGGAGCAGUGGGGAAAAUUGGAAAAUGGGGGGAAACCUGAGCCAGCCAUGCCGCGUGAGUGAUGGAGGGCUUUGGGUUGUAAAACCCUUUUUGGCGGGAAGAUUAUGACCGGACCCGGAAAAAAAACCCCGGCUAACUUCGUG